AACGAACGCUGGCGGCAGGCUUAACACAUGCAAGUCGAGCGCCCCGCAAGGGGAGCGGCAGACAGGUGAGUAACGCGUGGGAAUCUACCCAUCUCUACGGAAUAACGCAUGGAAACGUGUGCUAAUACCGUAUACGUCCUUCGGGAGAAAGAUUUAUCGGAGAUGGAUGAGCCCGCGUUGGAUUAGCUAGUUGGUGGGGUAAAGGCCUACCAAGGCGACGAUCCAUAGCUGGUCUGAGAGGAUGAUCAGCCACACUGGGACUGAGACACGGCCCAGACUCCUACGGGGGGCAGCAGUGGGGAAUAUUGGACAAUGGGCGCAAGCCUGAUCCAGCCAUGCCGCGUGAGUGAUGAAGGCCCUAGGGUUGUAAAGCUCUUUCACCGGUGAAGAUAAUGACGGUAACCGGAGAAGAAGCCCCGGCUAACUACGUGCCAGCCGCCGCCGUAAAAC
rnacentral:rRNA from 1 species